rnacentral:rRNA from 1 species
GAUGAACGCUGGCGGCGUGCCUAACACAUGCAAGUCGAGCGAUUCUCUUCGGAGAAGAGCGGCGGACGGGUGAGUAACGCGUGGGUAACCUGCCCUGUACACACGGAUAACAUACCGAAAGGUAUGCUAAUACGAGAUAAUAUGCUUUUAUCGCAUGGUAGAAGUAUCAAAGCUUUUGCGGUACAGGAUGGACCCGCGUCUGAUUAGCUAGUUGGUAAGGUAACGGCUUACCAAGGCGACGAUCAGUAGCCGACCUGAGAGGGUGAUCGGCCACAUUGGAACUGAGACACGGUCCAAACUCCUACGGGAGGCAGCAGUGGGGAAUAUUGCACAAUGGGCGAAAGCCUGAUGCAGCAACGCCGCGUGAGCGAUGAAGGCCUUCGGGUCGUAAAGUUCUGUCCUCAAGGAAGAUAAUGACGGUACUUUAGGAGGAAGCCCCGGCUAACUACGUG